rnacentral:lncRNA from 1 species
GGAAAACAGAAAACAAUUAUCAGAUUGAAGGCCAAGGACAUGGCGCAGUAUUUGACUGCAAAUGCUCUCCUGAUGGUCAGCAUUUUGCAUGCACAGACUCUCAUGGACAUCUUUUAAUUUUUGGCUUUGGGUCCAGUAGCAAAUAUGACAAGAUAGCAGAUCAGAUGUUCUUUCAUAGUGAUUAUCGGCCACUUAUUCGUGAUGCCAACAAUUUUGUAUUAGAUGAACAGACUCAGCAAGCACCUCAUCUUAUGCCUCCCCCUUUUUUGGUUGAUGUUGAUGGUAACCCUCAUCCAUCAAGAU